AUCGGUGUAGGUUGGCUGCAGUCCCUGCGCAGCUGUGUCAGUGAACUGGGGCCCUUCCGAUAGCACUGGGAACUCUCACCUUGUCUCCUUAUGCCUGGUCCCCUGCAGCCACCACCGCUUCUCAGUUGAAUUUGGCCGGUAUGCUCAAUUCUGGGCUCAGUGAGGAGGAAGGAAAUGAUUAAGGAGGUCAAGGAGUUGGACCCACCGAGGAACUCAUGGACAACGUCCUUAUUGGAGCUCUACAGAGACUGAGCCCAGCACCCGGCAUUAGGAACCCUCCACAGUGCGUGGUUGUACCUUCCAGCAGCCCUGGCAAACUGGGACAGUGUGUUGGGACACGACGAGGAUGUUUUCAGCAGCCCUGUGGAACUAGCAGCAAAAUUGAAUCGGGUUCCACCAGCACUAAAAGGCAGAAUCACUGAGGAAAACUACAUCCUCUAUGGGGAUGAUAUAGGGAGGAGUAAGGUCACCGCUCUUGACCUGGCUGGCCUGCAGUGGUUGGCUGUGCUCUGUGAGUUGACAAGUUGCAGAGACAUGUCUGAUACCUUAAUCCCUCCCCGUUUUGUUUGUUUGUUGCUUUGGUUUUGUUUCGUUUGUUUUUUGUACAAACCACCCUCAAGUGUGAUGAUGUGUAAGGCCUGGAGAAGGUCUGCAAGGACAGUGGAGCUCAGUGCUCUGCAGGAUACCUGGGGCAGGUAGUUAAACAAUGGAAACCAGCCACCUGCAAAGACAGCAAGAAUUUGUUUUCUCCACCAUUCCAACAAAUAUGUGAAGACUAUUCCUACACUACCAGGAACCUGGUUGGGAGGAUUGGAGGUACAGGUUUCUCUGGGAGUGGGCCCCAGAUUUGUGUCUGGGUUCUGGCCCCACCCCCGUCAUCUCAGGUCCUACAUGUGGGACAGCCCUCACCUCAGCCGCGCUCUGGGCAGUCAUCCUGGCCUGGCGUUCUCAUCCCUUGUACUGGUUGGUAGCAUAAGUGAACCCGUCAGCCAGCUCCUCUAUGACGUCCUCCUUGGAGCGCUACAAACACAGAGCCCGGUCCCGGGCCCAGAGGCGUCAGUAGCCUGCCACGGCAUUGCCAGCUGGGGGAGAAGCCCACACUAAUUCUGCUCGCCAGAUCAGGCUCAAAGGGGCAUCUGCUAAGACCUCCAGCCCAGGAAGGAACGAGAUGACACCCUGAGAGCUGAAGAUUAACAAGUGGGUACAGGAGCUUUUUCCCCAGCUCUCACCUUUCCAUCCUGACAGCCAUGACCUGGGCUGUGAACGUGACAGACCCACCAGGUUCCAGCUGCUAACAACCUGCUCCUGCCCAGGAUGAGUGCCCCUUGUCCCACACUUUCCCUCGCCAGCCCCAGCCCACACACAUACUCAGGAGGGGUGUGGGGCUG